rnacentral:rRNA from 1 species
UACGUAGGGUCCGAGCGUUUGUCCGGAAUUACUGGGCGUAAAGAGCUCGUAGGUGGUUUGUCGCGUUGUUCGUGAAAACUCACAGCUUAACUGUGGGCGUGCGGGCGAUACGGGCAGACUAGAGUACUGCAGGGGAGACUGGAAUUCCUGGUGUAGCGGUGGAAUGCGCAGAUAUCAGGAGGAACACCGGUGGCGAAGGCGGGUCUCUGGGCAGUAACUGACGCUGAGGAGCGAAAGCGUGGGGGAGCGAACAGG